UGAAUGACCAGCUCAGGACCGGCCUCCCUGCCUGAGUUCAGAAGAGGAGCAAAUGCUUUCACUCAGGAGGAAUGAACAGAAAACCAGCACAGUGGUAUACCACCUGCUUGCUAGUUUUCAUAAAAAUAAAAUCAUAGAGGGAAAAGACACUUGAAUCUAUCUGCCAAUAAGUUCACAAACAGCUACAGAAAAAAGUUACUACAAGUGUCAACAUGAAGAAAGAAGAUAAUUUGACUACAGAAGCAAUUGGUUUAAAGGUUAUGAAAGACAAGGAAAUACUGAGGAACUAUCACAGAUUGGAGGAGACCAAGGGCACAUGACAGCUAAAUGCAACAUGAAAUCCUGGAUUGGAUCCUGAAAUAGCAAAAGGACAGCAGUGAGAAAACUGGGAAAUCCGAAUAAGAAGUCUGACUGGAUUGCACAAGCCAUCACAACUAAAUGCUGGUGUCCAGCCGCCACCUACAGCACUGUCCCUAUAGGCGAAUGCCUUCCAAGUUGCAAACAACUGACUUACAAA